ACACAGCGGAAACAAACAAAAAGCUGUGCACAGGUGCAAGCGUGCGCAUGCGUGCGCGUGUGCGCUGAGUGAGAGGAUCCACAGAGAAAACUGGUGGCAUCGUACGGAAUUCAAGCGAUCCCAGGGUCGUUCCCAGCUAUUAUUACCAUUCCUGCUGGUCUCCCGUGCUUCCCGUACAUGUGAUAUGAAGUCUA